CAGUAGCCGCGGGAAUACGUAGGUGGCAAGCGUUGUCCGGAAUUAUUGGGCGUAAAGGGCUCGCAGGCGGUUUCUUAAGUCUGAUGUGAAAGCCCCCGGCUCAACCGGGGAGGGUCAUUGGAAACUGGGAAACUUGAGUGGAGAAGAGGAGAGUGGAAUUCCACGUGUAGCGGUGAAAUGCGUAGAGAUGUGGAGGAACACCAGUGGCGAAGGCGACUCUCUGGUCUGUAACUGACGCUGAGGAGCGAAAGCGUGGGGAGCGAACAGGAUUAGAUACCCGAGUAGUCCCUGUCUCUUAUAU
rnacentral:rRNA from 1 species